rnacentral:rRNA from 1 species
UCGAGCGCUCAUCAGCAAUGGUGGGAGCGGCGAACGGCGUAGUAAUGUGUAGGAACGUACCCUCUGGCCGGGGAUAGCUACGGGAAACUGUAGGUAAUACCCGAUGAUCUCUGCGGAGCAAAGGUGUGAUUCCGCCGGGGGAGCGGCUUACAUGAUAUUAGCUAGUUGGUGGGGUAAUGGCUCACCAAGGCUUAGAUGUCUAGGGGGUGUGAGAGCAUGGCCCCCACGACCGGAACUGAGAUACUGUCCGGACACCUACGGGUGGCUGCAGUCGAGAAUCUUCCGCAAUGGACGAAAGUCUGACGGAGCGACGCCCGCGUGCGGGAUGAAGGCCCUUGGGUUGUAAACCGCUGUCAGAGGGGAUGAAAUCUCCGAAGGUACUCCUUCGGAGUUGACAGAGCCUCAGAGGAAGCACGGGCUAAGUAUGUGCCAGCAGCCGCGGUAAUACAUACUGUGCGAACGUU